GUCAUCUUUCGUUAGGUGAGGCUUCUGUAUAGACACAUGCCACUGCCCGGAAACUUCGAGAGAAGGUAACGGGUCAACAGGUAUUACCGGCUUAAGGUUUUACUUAAUGUGGCUGGGAAGGCUAGUUAAUUCAUCCCUAGCUGUAUAGUGCCAAAGCUUGUACGAGUGAAGAAGGCG
rnacentral:sRNA from 2 species